rnacentral:rRNA from 1 species
GUCCACGCCCUAAACGAUGGAUACUAAGUAGGGGACCCUGCAAGGGGUUCCUUGCCGGAGCGAAAGCGUUAAGUAUCCCGCCUGGGGAGUAUGGUCGCAAGGCUGAAACUCAAAAGAAUUGACGGGGGCUCACACAAGCGGUGGAGCAUGUUGCUUAAUUCGAUGCAACGCGAAGAACCUUACCCGGGCUCGAAGUGUACGGAUUAGCUCUAUGAAAGUAGAGUGACACCUUAACCGGUGGAACGUAUAAAGGUGUUGCAUGGCUGUCGU